AGGAUCAUUUGCAAUGGGCGAAAGCCUGACAAUGCGACGCUGCGUGGAGGAUGAAGGCCUUCGGGUUGUAAACUCCUGUCAUGGGGGAACAGGCGAGGGGACCCAACACGUCCCUUAGUUGAGUGUACCCCAAGAGGAAGGGACGGCUAACUCUGUGCCAGCAGCCGCGGUAAUACAGAGGUCCCUAGCGUUGUUCGGAUUUACUGGGCGUAAAGGGCGCGUAGGCGGCCGAGCAAGUCAAGUGUGAAAUCUCCGGGCUCAACCCGGAACGUGCGCUUGAGACUGCCUGGCUCGAGGCCGGGAGAGGGAAUCGGAAUACAGGGUGUAGCGGUGAAAUGCGUUGAUAUCCUGUAGAACACCGGAGGCGAAGGCGGAUUCCUUGGACGGCACUGACGCUGAGGCGCGAAAGUCGGGGGAGCAAACA
rnacentral:rRNA from 1 species